UAUUUCAUAGCUAUUUUAUAUGAUAUUGCCUAAAAGACCCUAAAUGUACAAAUCAGACGAUGUUUUCGUAAAAUAUUAACAAGCAUAAUAUGUACGACAACCGCAUCUCGACAAUACUGCCAUCACAAACACUCAUCCCUUUCUUGUACUUAUCGCAACAGUCCUACCAACCGCUAUAGUUCUUGCGGCAACGUUGUUAGACUUUUUCAAAUUCGCAAUAGCUGUGGUUACUCUCUUUUCAAAGAAAAUCUACGUUUGAAUAUUAUACAUUAACGUUCGAAAUGGCGUCGCGUUUGAAAAACGAAGGUAAACGGAGCGGAUUAUGGCAGCACUUUACAGCGGUGGAUGCAGUAAGGGCAAAAUGCGAUUUUUGUAAAACUACUCUGUCUUACAAAGGUAUGCCUAUAUAUUUGCUCAUUAUUUAAUAACUAAAAUUAUUUACAAUAAAUAUAUUACAAUAAUUAGGUGGAGGUACAUCCAAUUUACGAUAGCAUCUCCUUGUUAAGCAUCCAACAAUUGAGUUAUCGCAAACAACAUCGGUAAGAAACGAUGAACAUGCCACAAUGGCCCCUGAACAUAGUACGUCAUCAGCUACAAAACAAACGAGGCUCAGCAACUACACGCAACCAAAA